CCUACGGGUGUCAGCAGUGGGGAAUAUUGGGCAAUGGAGGCAACUCUGACCCAGCAACGCCGCGUGAAUGAUGAAGGUCGUCGGAUUGUAAAGUUCUUUUAUAAGGGAAGAAGAAAGUGACGGUACCAUAGGAAGAAGCCUCGGCUAACUACGUGCCAGCAGCCGCGGUAAUACGUAGGAGGCAAGCGUUAUCCGGAUGGACUGGGCGUAAAGGGUGGUGAGGGGGUUUGAAAAUUUAGUAGCGAAACUCCGAAGCGCAACUUCGGAACUACUACUAAAACUGUUGGACUUGAGUGCAGGAGUGGCAAUCGGAAUUGCUAGUGUAGCGGUGGAAUGCGUAGAUAUUAGGAGGAACACCAGUGGCGAAGGCGGAUUGCUAGACUGUAACUGACACUGAGGCACGAAAGCGUGGGGAGCAAACAGGAUUAGAUACCCUGGUAGUC
rnacentral:rRNA from 1 species